CAUGAAUAUUUGUAUAAAUGGAAGGUUUUUCUAAAUGGAGGUUAGAUAUAGAAAUCUGGCAUCAUAAGUAAAUUCUGUUUUUGUAGAUAACAAAUUAAGAUGGAUAAAAUGUUCAUUUAACUUGUAGGCAUUGCCAACUUUUGUAUCAUCUAGAGAUAUUGGUCCAUUCCAGUUAAUAUCUGCAAAAGGGGGAUGGAUGGUCCUUUCUGAGGGGUGUAAAAUUUAUACAUCUUAUGGGUGAAAUUUUGGGUUUUUUCAUCUGACGCGUACACUUACUAGUAUACGCAAAAAUUUCUGAGGGUCUUGCAGCAGUAAAUAAUUAAAAAUAAUUAGAUCUUAGGGGUUACAAAAAAUACCUAUUUCAGAUCUUAGGGGUGCUUUGGAAUGUAGACAGUUUCGUAUCAUGCAUUAUCUGGUAUUGUAUUUAAAAUUCUGAUGGGUACAAUCCUUGCAGUAAAAAAUUCUGAUAGGUCAAUUUUUCCCAUGAAAACCCAUCCACCCAAUAUGAACAGAAACUCUACAUCUGAUAGGUCUUAAUUUAUAGAUCUGAUAGGUUGUUUUUCAUGAUGUUUUUUUUUCCUGAUAGGUAUGAAAAAAAAUCUCCCCAUCCAUCCCCACCUGUCAGAAAUUAACUGGAACGGCCCAUUAACAUGUACAUGUAUGUCAUCUGAACUAAGGAGAGUUGACCACUAAGAUAUGUAUUUGAUUUUGUCUUUCUCUCAUUAUUUUCCGUAUAAAAAGUUAUUGUAGCAGUCUUAAAAAAUAUCUUUAAAAAUUUCAGCAAUUGAUUAUGGCAC
rnacentral:lncRNA from 1 species